ACUUCGGUAGGUUGAACACGAGGCGCACUGCCGCAUUCUGGAUGCGCUGCAAGGGUUUAAUCGCAGAGGCAGGAAGUCCAACCAGGAGUGAGUUGCAGUAGUCGAGGCGGGAGAUGACCAGUGAUUGGACUAGAAGCUGAGCUGCUUCCCUUGUGAGGAAGGGCCGGAUUCUGCUGAUGUUUGCGGUGCAGCAUAACUGAUUGUCCAAUACCACACUGAGGUUUCUGGCAGUAGGAGAAGGAGAUACAGUGAUGUUCUCAACGGUGACCAGUAAGUCCAUGUGUGGGCUAUCUUUCCCUGGGAUUAGGAGGAGCUUGGUUUUGUUGAGGUUAAGCCUCAGGUGAUGGGCAGUUGUCCAGGUGCUGACGUCCGCCAGACAUUCUGAUAUGCGUGUUGCAAUCAGGGCUUUAUCAGAUAAGGGGAAAGAGAGAAAAAGCUGAGUGUCGUCAGCAUAGCAGUGAUAGAAAAAGCCGUGUGAUGUAAUUACAGAGCCCAGAGAUCUGGUAUAGAGGGAGAACAGAAGAGGCCCCAGUACAGAGCCUUGAGGGACACCAGUUUCAAGCGUGCAAGGUUUGGACAAGGAGCCAUUCCAUGUUACUUGAUAGGUGCGGUUCGUCAGGUAGGAUGUGAACCAGGAAAGAGCAGAUUCAGCAAUACCAAGUUCAGCAAGAGUGGCAAGGAGGAUCUGGUGGUUCACCGUGUCAAAUGCUGCGGACUUGUCGAGGAGAAUGAGAACCGAUGAGAGGGACGAGGCUCUGCCAGCACGGAGGGACUCAGUCACCGCAAGGAGAGCCGUCUCAGUGGAGUGUGCCUUCUUGAAGCCUGACUGGUGAGGGUCAAGCAGGUUGUUAGAUGAGAGAUAGGAGGACAGUUGGUUAGCAAUGGCACGUUCCAGUGUUUUA